UGAGAUGACAAGUCAGACAGAUGAGAUGACGUCACACAGAUGAGAUGACAAGUCCCACAGAUGAGAUGACAAGUCACACAGAUGAGAUGACGUCACACAGAUGAGUUGACAAGUCCCACAGAUGAGAUGACAAGUCAGACAGAUGAGAUAACAAGUCAGACAGAUGAGAUGACGUCACACAGAUGAGAUGACAAGUCACACAGAUGAGUUGACAAGACAGACAGAUGAGAUGUUGACCACAGAUGAGAUGAUGACAACAUAUGAGUUG
rnacentral:lncRNA from 1 species